UAGGAUGGUGUUCUUGAUGUUCAGAU
rnacentral:piRNA from 1 species